AGGUUAACCAGCGACAAAAAAACCUAAACCUAUCGCCCCCUCCCUCGCGCCCCUGUUGCUCCCUCCUCGAUCUCGAUCUGGAUCGAGGGGACGAGGAGCUCCUGCCUCCCCGACGGCCGGCCUCCUCCUCGCCCCGCCGCUGCGUCCGGCGCUGCCACGGCCUCUGGAGCCAGGGAAGCCAUGGCCUGAGCUCGGCCUCGAGGUCCCCGCCGCCGUCUCCUGCAGCUUCUGCCCCGCCGCCCGAGCUCGCCGUCGCACCAACCUCGGCGCCGCGCCGCCGCCGGCUCUGGUCGCCUCCACCUCCGCUCCAGGCAACCCUCGGUCGCCAGCUCGCUGGAGCACGACGGCAGACGAUGGAUGCCUUGGUUGUGUGCGACGGAUGCAGUUCUCACGCGCAAGCUAGGGUUGGAGCCGCCAGCUCUUCAUCCUGCCCGCCGGCGGCGAGUCUUCCCGUCCCGCACUGCCGCCUCCCCGUUAUCACAGAAGUUGGUGGCAUGGUGAAGCCCCUGAGCAAAAGUUGCAGGAGUCUUUGAAGGAGUUGGAGAAGUCUCUAGCGAUGCAAGUUUGUCUUAAACCUCGUGGCCAGGAUCUCCGCGGUCGGCAUCGGCGUCGGCGUCGUCUACGGCUCCGUCAGGCUCGACAUCCUCAAGGCAACGCUCCAAAUCCCCCAAUCCCACGCUCCAAAUCAUUCUCAUUUUUGCACACGGGAAAUAUUCAGGGAAGGAACUUUAGAUGCAAAAUACUGAGAUGCUUUCUGCUUGAAAACUAUAGUCAAAAGUUGAUUCACAGAAGUUCAGAAGUUCAGUCCAGAUGCCAAGGCAUGCUUAGCAUCUCAUAGUCAGAGGCUAUCCUGUCUCAACAUUGCACCUAUGCAGGUUUUCAAUUUAGGAGAUUAUUUGCACCUAUCCAUUUACUCUAAUGUAUUACAUACUAAUCCUUUUGGAGGCAAGAACGGAAGAAAAAUCUGGUGAUGUCUCCACGAGUCAAGUUAUAUAACCGUUUCUGACUUGAAGGAAUAUUUGUGGGAUUUCAAUCAUUAGGAAGUUAGAGGGCAUCUGCAGCUUGGCAAAGUAGAUGUUGUUGACAUCAAUUAUUAAUUGUUAUUUUAUAACGUUCCAUCAUUUUGUUUUUACACUUUUUUGCAGGUACUAGCAAUGUUUUACCAUUGACAGAGCAUUGUGAAUAUGGUAACAGACUACUUGGGUGUUCUGAAAUCGAAUUCUGUAUAUAAUAUAAGUAUAUACCAUGACAUGUGCUACUGCUUCCGAUUAGAUACAAUAGCUUCUCUCUUUUUUUAUUGUACAGCUGAGAUCUUCAUUACAUUACAACCUUAUGUUUUGCUUUUUUUUAAUUGAAAUUGGUGUUCUCUCUCUAGGUUAAUGGAUCAUCCUGGGAAUGGACUAUGGAAUGGCAAACUAACAGGGCACAUCACACAACUGGGUAUUGUCAAUCUACUUACAGACCACUUGCAUUGGGCAAGAGGGUUCUGCUGCGGAGACCAAGAAAAAGGAUGGGAACAUUGGGGACGCCUCAGCUGCCAUCGAUGAACGCAGCUCGGAACAGGCAAAGCUCCAUGCGAGGCUCCCCUGGCUGCCGAGCAUCUCUGAGAAGCCCAAAAUGAGAUGAGAUGAUGUCAUGGUGAUCGACAGUGCCACGCAGGUUAUGCCGGAGACCAUCAUGUUCCCUGUGAAGUUCUUCCAGUUCUUCACCGAGCUUCUGCCAGCAGCAAGCGAGGUCAUCUCCUUCUUAGACCAGUACUAAGGACCGCUGUUAUGUGGAUCCAUUUUACAUGCAAAUGUCGAGCCCAUCAUAUCGUGUUCGACCCAUGAACUGGAAGGAUUGCUUGCCAUUAUGUGGUUGUUGGUCAGGCCACCUGAGGAGAGGCACCAAAUUAAGAAGAGAGAGACAUCAAAGAUGGAGCUGUGUUUAGCUUCUCGCUCAUCAGAGACCUUACCCGGCAGAGCUGCUUGAGGGGCUUGCUGCCAUGUGGUUUUGCUCAAAAUAGCUAGAGCACACACGCGAUAGGUGGAAAUCUCUUGCUUCUUGGCUUGAUUUGGUUCAGUUUUUAUUACUGAUUUGGUUUGCUUGCAAGGUCGCUUUGGUUUACAGGGAGGAGAGGCUGAGGCUGAUGCUUCUAGAGUUGGUGUACGUUGCGUAGAGAGAGGUGAGGAUCUCCCUCCAGUAUCUUUUUACGUAGAGAGUUUCGGUGGAGCAAAGCAGAAAGGAGUUCAGUGCGAAGGAGAAUAGGAGGGAGGAGAGAUCUGGACGCACCAAGACAAACAAGCGAGCUGAUCAUGCCGCCAACCUUGUUCUGUGCGGCUCGCUGGAGCCAGACGAUGAGUCCUUGCCUGCCUCUGGCCCUCCUAACAAUUGCUGUGAACCCUGUUAUGCGCCCUUGGCUGAUCAGCCAAUCUUACUAUACCUUUCCCCCUCCCGGGUCAUCAUGCUCAGGCCCUAGCUUGCAUCUUGAAGGACUUGGCACAGUUGUGACGUUAAUGAACAACACUCCAAUCAGGGACCACAGUGACCUCGGGGAGGAGAUCAAGAGAAUCAACAACCCUUGGUGGUUUUCCUCAUCAUCGGCACAACUGCAAUCAGCAACAAUGAUGACCAGCUCACAAGGCAGCUACUGAACCGUUCGAGCCUUGUUGCAAAGACAACAUGGAGACCGAGAGUGAUCCAGAGAGAGGGGGGAGACCGGGAGAGGGAGGAAGAGUGUUCGAGAGAGGGAAUGAGGGAGAGUGAGGAGGAAGAAACCUUGCAAGUACACAUUGGUAGGACAACCAUAUUCUAAAAUAAAAAAUGGGAUUUGGUGGCAAGCCAUCAUUGUCUUUGUUCCCGGUGUCUGUCACACACGAUAACUUUAAUGUCGAAUGCAUAAUGGAUGCAUUCUUAAAUUAUUUGAUUAUAGAAUUUUUAGCUCUUGAUAUUCA